UCCGGCGUAGCGCAGCGGUAGCGCAGUUGGCUGUUAACCAAUUGGUCGCUGGUUCGAAUCCAGCCGCCGGAGCCA
rnacentral:tRNA from 1 species